AUACGGAGGGUGCAAGCGUUACUCGGAAUCACUGGGCGUAAAGCGCGCGCAGGCGGCUUGAUAAGUUGGAUGUGAAAGCCUACGGCUCAACCGUAGAACUGCAUCCAAAACUGUCAGGCUAGAGGGUGGGAGAGGAAGAUGGAAUUAGUUGUGUAGGGGUAAAAUCCGUAGAGAUAACUAGGAAUACCAAAAGCGAAGGCAAUCUUCUGGAACACUACUGACGCUGAGGCGCGAAGGCGUGGGGAGCAAACAGGAUUAGAAACCCCAGUAGUCC
rnacentral:rRNA from 1 species